AUUGAACGCUGGCGGAAUGCUUUACACAUGCAAGUCGAGCGGCAGCGCGGCCUUCGGGCUGGCGGCGAGCGGCGAACGGGUGAGUAAUGCAUCGGAACAUGCCCAGUCGUGGGGGAUAACACUUCGAAAGAAGUGCUAAUACCGCAUACGUCCUGAGGGGGAAAGCGGGGGAUCGCAAGACCUCGCGCGCUUUGAGUGGCCGAUGUCAGAUUAGCUAGUUGGUGGGGUAAAGGCCUACCAAGGCGACGAUCUGUAGCUGGUCUGAGAGGAUGAUCAGCCACACUGGGAAUGAGACACGGCCCAGACUCCUACGGGAGGCAGCAGUGGGGAAUUUUGGACAAUGGGGGCAACCCUGAUCCAGCCAUUCCGCGUGAGUGAAGAAGGCCUUCGGGUUGUAAAGCUCUUUCGGCAGGAACGAAACGGUGGGCUCUAACAGAGUCCGCUAAUGACGGUACCUGAAGAAGAAGCACCGGCUAACUACGU
rnacentral:rRNA from 1 species